UAUGGCCACAUCACGUUGAAACACAGGUUCCCAUACUAUCAUCGAAGUUAAGCAACGACGAACCUGGUCAGUACCUAGAUGGGUGACCGUUUAGUAAUACCAGGUGCUGUAAG